rnacentral:rRNA from 1 species
UUUUUUUUUCUGCUCAGGACGAACGCUGGCGGCGUGCCUAAUACAUGCAAGUCGAACGCUUCUUUUUCCACCGGAGCUUGCUCCACCGGAAAAAGAGGAGUGGCGAACGGGUGAGUAACACGUGGGUAACCUGCCCAUCAGAAGGGGAUAACACUUGGAAACAGGUGCUAAUACCGUAUAACAAUCGAAACCGCAUGGUUUUGAUUUGAAAGGCGCUUUCGGGUGUCGCUGAUGGAUGGACCCGCGGUGCAUUAGCUAGUUGGUGAGGUAACGGCUCACCAAGGCCACGAUGCAUAGCCGACCUGAGAGGGUGAUCGGCCACAUUGGGACUGAGACACGGCCCAAACUCCUACGGGAGGCAGCAGUAGGGAAUCUUCGGCAAUGGACGAAAGUCUGACCGAGCAACGCCGCGUGAGUGAAGAAGGUUUUCGGAUCGUAAAACUCUGUUGUUAGAGAAGAACAAGGAUGAGAGUAACUGUUCAUCCCUUGACGGUAUCUAACCAGAAAGCCACGGCUAACUACGUGCCAGCAGCCGCGGUAAUACGUAGGUGGCAAGCGUUGUCCGGAUUUAUUGGGCGUAAAGCGAGCGCAGGCGGUUUCUUAAGUCUGAUGUGAAAGCCCCCGGCUCAACCGGGGAGGGUCAUUGGAAACUGGGAGACUUGAGUGCAGAAGAGGAGAGUGGAAUUCCAUGUGUAGCGGUGAAAUGCGUAGAUAUAUGGAGGAACACCAGUGGCGAAGGCGGCUCUCUGGUCUGUAACUGACGCUGAGGCUCGAAAGCGUGGGGAGCAAACAGGAUUAGAUACCCUGGUAGUCCACGCCGUAAACGAUGAGUGCUAAGUGUUGGAGGGUUUCCGCCCUUCAGUGCUGCAGCUAACGCAUAAGCA